rnacentral:tRNA from 1 species
GGGUGGCAGAGUGGUAAUGCGCUGGACACCCUAUCCAGUGGCCCUUCGGGGCCUCAAGGGUUCAAAUCCCUUCCCCGGCGCCA